rnacentral:rRNA from 1 species
GAUGAACGCUGGCGGCGUGCCUAAUACAUGCAAGUCGAGCGAACAGAUGAGGAGCUUGCUCCUCUGACGUUAGCGGCGGACGGGUGAGUAACACGUGGAUAACCUACCUAUAAGACUGGGAUAACUUCGGGAAACCGGAGCUAAUACCGGAUAAUAUAUUGAACCGCAUGGUUCAAUAGUGAAAGACGGUUUUGCUGUCACUUAUAGAUGGAUCCGCGCCGCAUUAGUUAGUUGGUAAGGUAACGGCUUACCAAGGCAACGAUGCGUAGCCGACCUGAGAGGGUGAUCGGCCACACUGGAACUGAGACACGGCCCAGACUCCUACGGUGGGCAGCAGUAGGGAAUCUUCCGCAAUGGGCGAAAGCCUGACGGAGCAACGCCGCGUGAGUGAUGAAGGUCUUCGGAUCGUAAAGCUCUGUUAUUAGGGAAGAACAAAUGUGUAAGUAACUAUGCACGUCUUGACGGUACCUAAUCAGAAAGCCACGGCUAACUACGUG